GUUAAGGUGGCAGAAUCUGGCUAUCGCAAAAGGCCUAAGCCCUUUCAACAGAGGUUCAAAUCCUCUCCUUAACU
rnacentral:tRNA from 1 species